CCUUCGACAGAUAUCCAGCGACACCUCCACAGCUAUUUACAUACCAACACAGAAAGGUCUGCUUCUACAGGAUUGGAUCACCCUGGCUGGAGUUAGGAUGGAGGCUGUCUACACUGUAAACUACCCCAAAACCAACAAAAGUAACAUUGGUGCUCUCUUUUUAAGUAAGUAGAAGCAACUAAGUGCUUUAAAACUCCCUAAGGAAUUCUUAUCACACGUUUAAAACAAGUGGUCCUUCUCACAGCUGCAGUAUUUUUACAUUUGUGCCUGCUUUGCAGGUAGUUCCCUCAAUAAUUUUGAGUUGAGUCAGGUGGUGGAUUGGGAUGGAAGAAAAUACAUCCUGGAACCGCAUGUGCUGCAGAACCAGAACAAAACUAGCUUUCUUGUGAGGCUUCAUGGAAAAGGAGUCCAGAAGGAAAAGAGGAAAAAUAUUAACUAGCUGAAAUAUCUAUUAUAGUACUUUCUGUCUAGAUAUGUUUCCCUCAUGUACACCUUCUGUGAUGCUACAUCAGAAACUCUAGGCUUUAUUAACAUAUGAUGGAUUUAGGCAUUAUUUAGUUUGCUACAUUAUGCUCUUUUAAUAGAAGAGAGUAAUUUAAUCAAGUGUAUCACCCUGGAAAGAGAGGCAAUAACAAAGCAUGCCUGGAGGAAGAAACUGUAGAGUCUUGGCUCUGCUUCCUCCUCUCCAUUCUGCCUUAUCACUUUGUUUAAAAAGUGACUCUCUCUACUUUCUGCUCCCAACAAAAAUCACCUCUCCCUGCUCCCUGCUUGAAAGCUACUCUUUUGAGCAAAAAAUUCCCUUUGGAACUUUUGGUGUGCUUCCUUGUAAGGAGAAAUCUAGGUAGACCCACUUUCAAUCAGCAAAGUUCCACUUUACUACUACUACCACCUAGUACCACCACUAAUGCUCCCCACUUUUCAAGAUAUUUUCUCUUUCUUUUUCUUUUCUUCUUUCUUCUUCCAUUUCUUACUGAAUCCAGGCUGUAUGAAUCACUGCCAAGGAACAAUGGCAUUGGCAAAGGCAUGGUGACAGACCUACUGCUGGGGAUGGCCCUGCUGUGAGAAGGAGACUGGACUGAAAAUGCCCUGUCAGAAGCACAUCUGUGAGUCCACACUCAGUUGAAGAAGAUAAACGUGUGGUUAACUCACUGUGAGCCUGUACCUCAAAUCCCCUCUGGUAACUCAAGCACUAUGGGACUCAGACUUCUAGGAUCUCUCUUCACAGCUUCCAAAUGAUGCCAUGAGGUUCCAGCGGCUGACAUACCACGUGGUCUGUGGAGGAUAUCUGGUUGCACCUUCCCCACCAUGAGAGCUUUUGGAUCUCAUCACCAUCACCUCUAUGACUGUAAGCCACUAAGGACCAUAGCCAGCUAAAUAAGUGACAUCUGUUUCCUGGUACUGGAAAUUUAUCGAGCUGCAUACCCCCAGGGUGGGAAAUGGAGAUAUGAUGAGUAUCAUGCAAGAAUGAAUCAUUAGCAAGAACUGUGUUGUUAAUCUUCAGUUCCCCAACUGAUAGAUAAAUAAACAUGUAUUCAGA